AGAAUCAACGCUGGCGGCGUGCCUAACACAUGCAAGUCGAAUGCGAAAGGGACUUCGGUCCUGAGUAGAGUGGCGAACGGGUGAGUAACGCGUGGGUGACCUACCCUCGAGUGGGGGAUAACGUUCCGAAAGGGACGCUAAUACCGCAUGACAUUCCUGGUUUGAAGACCGGGAAAUCAAAGCCGGGGACCUAAGGCCUGGCGCUUGAGGAGGGCCCGCGUCUGAUUAGCUAGUUGGCGGGUAACGCCCACGAAGGCGACGAUCAGUA
rnacentral:rRNA from 1 species